AUUGAACGCUGGCGGCAGGCCUAACACAUGCAAGUCGAACGGUAACAGGAAGCAGCUUGCUGCUUCGCUGACGAGUGGCGGACGGGUGAGUAAUGUCUGGGAAGCUGCCUGAUGGAGGGGGAUAACUACUGGAAACGGUAGCUAAUACCGCAUAAUGUCGCAAGACCAAAGAGGGGGACCUUCGGGCCUCUGGCCAUCGGAUGUGCCCAGAUGGGAUUAGCUUGUUGGUGGGGUAACGGCUCACCAAGGCGACGAUCCCUAGCUGGUCUGAGAGGAUGACCAGCCACACUGGAACUGAGACACGGUCCAGACUCCUACGGGAGGCAGCAGUGGGGAAUAUUGCACAAUGGGCGCAAGCCUGAUGCAGCCAUGCCGCGUGUAUGAAGAAGGCCUUCGGGUUGUAAAGUACUUUCAGCGGGGAGGAAGGGAGUAAAGUUAAUACCUUUGCUCAUUGACGUUACCCGCAGAAGAAGCACCGGCUAACUCCGUG
rnacentral:rRNA from 1 species